rnacentral:rRNA from 1 species
GGGAUUGCCUAGUACGGCGAGUGAAGCGGCAACAGCUCAAAUUUGAAAGCUAGCCUUCGGGUUCGCAUUGUAAUUUGUAGAGGAUGAUUUGGGGAAGCCGCCUGUCUAAGUUCCUUGGAACAGGACGUCAUAGAGGGUGAGAAUCCCGUAUGUGACAGGAAAUGGCACCCUAUGUAAAUCUCCUUCGACGAGUCGAGUUGUUUGGGAAUGCAGCUCUAAAUGGGAGGUAAAUUUCUUCUAAAGCUAAAUAUUGGCGAGAGACCGAUAGCGCACAAGUAGAGUGAUCGAAAGAUGAAAAGCACUUUGGAAAGAGAGUUAAAAAGCACGUGAAAUUGUUGAAAGGGAAGCGCUUGCAAUCAGACUUGUUUAAACUGUUCGGCCGGUCUUCUGACCGGUUUACUCAGUUUGGACAGGCCAGCAUCAGUUUCGGCGGCCGGAUAAAGGCUCUGGGAAUGUGGCCUCCACUUCGGUGGAGGUGUUAUAGCCCAGGGUGUAAUACGGCCAGCCGGGACUGAGGUCCGCGCUUCGGCUAGGAUGCUGGCGUAAUGGUUGUAAGCGACCCGUCUUGAACCACGGACCAAAC